rnacentral:snRNA from 1 species
AUCUUUGCACAGCGGCAGCAUCAUAGCCAGUAAGUUUAUCCAAGACACGGUUAUUGUUAACUGAAAACUUUCUCCAGUACCGUGUCAAUUUGAAACAUAGUUAGCAUCAGUUGACAAUUUUGAAACUGAACA